rnacentral:rRNA from 1 species
UACGUAGGGUGCGAGCGUUAAUCGGAAUUACUGGGCGUAAAGCGUGCGCAGGCGGUUCGUUGUGUCCGAUGUGAAAGCCCCGGGCUUAACCUGGGAAUGGCAUUGGAAACUGGCGAGCUUGAGUGCGGCAGAGGGGGGUGGGAAUUCCGCGUGUAGCAGUGAAAUGCGUAGAGAUGCGGAGGAACACCGAUGGCGAAGGCAGCCCCCUGGGUCGACACUGACGCUCAGGCACGAAAGCGUGGGGAGCAAACAGG